CUUUCUCGCUUCAUCCGCGGUCCCUGUCUGUUUUCGUUAUGGCGCCUUGUACUUCUACCCAACGUUGCCCGCCCCCCAUCUUCCCAGCCCACCAGCUCCGUCCGCCUCUCCGGAUGAUUCGUGAGAUACCGAGCCUGCCGGGAAGGGACCGGAUUUUUCCGUCUGGUCCAAGGAAGCACGGGUUAUGGCCACAUGCGCAGUGAUAACUCAGGGCCCCACGCCUUUUGACCCCUGUUGAUGAAGAUUGUGAGGAGGGAGACCAGAAGAUAAUGGACAACGAUACAGCAGAAGGGUCUGGUAAGCUCCGUUUAGUUGCACUACCCGGGGAGACCUGAGGCAUGUUUCCAAGGGCUGUGGCUGCCUGUAGCCAUGGGAUCUCCAACUGCAUGCCAGAGUAAUGGAGAGACUUUGACAGCUCAGGUCAGCACAGUGCCUGCAGCUGCCACUCAUCUUUCCUAUAUAUGUAUAUCAGGCCUCAAGUUGAGCGCCCUCUACCUGUGAGGCUAUUGUUCUGUGGUAUUUACAACAAAUGUUUCUUCUGCAGGUUACACUUGAGCUUAUUUCUUGGAAGAGUCUGAGAAGACGGCCUGUCAGGCUCCUAACACUAAGGUAAUUGCUGGCUAAGACAGCCUGACCCUCCGGUUUCCCUUUCCCAUCGGAUCUUGACGCUGGUCUUGGUGGUCGUUAAGGAGGAAGAGCACCCUGAAGCUGGCCUCACAGCGAUGCAGUCUGCUGUAGAGCAGCAGGCCAGACUCAGACAUGCCUGGGCUUUGAAGUGGGAAAACUUGAGAACUGAUCAGUAUUGCUGAGUAAUGGCUUACUUUCAUGGUUUUUUUUUUUUAAGGGCCAUGUAACCAGUGAAGCAGCCAUUAUAUAUGAUUUGGUCUACACUUGUUGGGUAAGCUUAAGGAUUGUUAACCCUUUUCCUAAGUAGUAUAGCAGAAAUUCAGGUUUGCAUAGUGGCUAGCCAUCUAUAAGCCACCUCCAUAAUUUAUGUCUGAACUAGUUAGCUGUUCACAUCUGGGGCAAAGAUGUGUGCCAUGUUGGCUGGUAUUUGUCAAUUGAACAUUGCAUGAGUACAGACACUGGUCCAUGAUGAAACCCAUUAUCAGUGGACAUCUAUGGAUGAGAAAUGCGGAUAUGGGACUGAGACCAGUUCUUAGGAAAGCCUGAGUUGGGGAAUGAGCCUGAAGGUGGAACUAACAUAGACUUGCACUUCCUUUUCAGAAAAAUUCCACAAGAGGAUCUCCUGGAAGCUAGCAGAAGUUUUUGGCUUGUACAUUGCCAGGCAGCCAUUGGAAUCGGAGCUGCAGUCAGAUUAAGGCCAGCCUGGCCUACAUUGAGAAACCUCAUUUUGGGAAAGUGAAAUACUUUGUCAAUUAACAUGCAGUUGGUUCAAUAAAGACUUUUGGAAAG
rnacentral:lncRNA from 7 species